rnacentral:lncRNA from 1 species
CUGAAACGUAGGGCACAUUGAAAUGAAGCACAGCCUAUUCAACAGAGGCAGCCCAUUUCAUUGCUCUGCAAUCUCCGACCUUCAUUCUAAUGUUCUCUUCUUUUCAGUUUAUGGAGAAUUCAUAGGUGUGUCAGGCAAAUCUUCUGAGGCUGAUGUUGUCACUCUUGGUGAUGAUGAUGAAUCUCCUAUGUGCAGAGCCAGGAAUUGUUAUUAAGUGUCCAAUUUGCAUGGACUUUUACUCGGAGAUUGGGCAAAGUGCACGAGAGCUUGUGUCAAUCGUGUUCUGCAGCGCGUGCCUCCCUGCUGCCCUGGACACUACCAGCAUGUGCCCAACCUGCAGAGCGGAAUGCAAUCCAGAAAUGUAUUUUCCAGUUUAUUUAGGAGUGCUUCUGUUUCUCAGGAGUCAGAUGGAUCCUGGGGAAUAGGCAAUGUAGAGGCUUGUUUCUUUAUGUAUAUAGUUCUUCCUGUA